rnacentral:rRNA from 1 species
AACGAACGCUGGCGGCAUGCCUAACACAUGCAAGUCGAACGAGACCUUCGGGUCUAGUGGCGCACGGGUGCGUAACGCGUGGGAACCUGCCCUUAGGUUCGGAAUAACUCCCCGAAAGGGGUGCUAAUACCGGAUAAUGUCUUAGGACCAAAGAUUUAUCGCCUUUGGAUGGGCCCGCGUUGGAUUAGCUAGUUGGUAGGGUAAUAGCCUACCAAGGCGACGAUCCAUAGCUGGUCUGAGAGGAUGAUCAGCCACACUGGGACUGAGACACGGCCCAGACUCCUACGGGAGGCAGCAGUGGGGAAUAUUGGACAAUGGGCGAAAGCCUGAUCCAGCAAUGCCGCGUGAGUGAUGAAGGCCUUAGGGUUGUAAAGCUCUUUUACCCGGGAUGAUAAUGACAGUACCGGGAGAAUAAGCUCCGGCUAACUCCGUG